rnacentral:lncRNA from 1 species
GUGAAACAAGAAAUAGAUGAGACAAUUCAUUAUAAAAAUUCAUAUCACGAGGUCGUAUUCUGAUAAUCACUUCUACAACAAUAUUUAAUAGAAGAUACUCAGAUGAAGAUGAUAAAACAAUGUCUUUCUAGCUAUGGAGGAACCAGGUAGGAACUUCUGGUUUAGUGAACUUCAAGAUGAGGGACUCCAUCUACUAAUUCAGAACUGAGGCUUCUGCAUAGACACACUUCGACAUACUUGCUAAGAAAGUGCCUAAAGUUGCUUGCUUCAAGACUAUCCAUUCCUUUGACUGGUCAAAUGAAAGCCAAACAUUAAGGCGUUGAGAAGGCUCACGCAAGUGGCGAGCCAUCCUUAAAGUCA